GAGCUACGUUAGUCAGGGUGAUGUGCAAAACACGGAUCCUUCGGCUUUUGAACGCAAAUUGCGGCUGAAAGUGUCAAAGCUUCAGCCUUGCCUGAGUGAGGGUCGUUGUUGAUUAUCAACACUACUCAUAGUGUUAUCAUUCGUCUCUCUUUUGAAACUAAUGGAACACUGUCGUUUCGGUUGAUUCCUUGUUGUGUCGCCGACUGUUAAAAAGACAGUCUGAUACUUUAACAUUUUGUUGUUAACAAGGUUACCGACUACACUUGUGUAGAAGAAUCUUACGACUAAAUCGACCUCACUUCAGGCAAGAUUACCCCCUGAACUUAA
rnacentral:misc_RNA from 1 species